rnacentral:rRNA from 1 species
UACGGAGGAUGCAAGCGUUUAUCCGGAAUGAUUGGGCGUAAAGCGUCCGCAGGUGGCAAUGUAAGUCUGCUGUCAAAGCGUCUGGCUCAACCAGAUAAAGGCAGUGGAAACUACAUAGCUAGAGUAAGGUAGGGAUAGAGGGAAUUCCUGGUGUAGCGGUGAAAUGCGUAGAGAUCAGGAAGAACACCGGUGGCGAAAGCGCUCUGCUGGACCUUAACUGACACUGAGGGACGAAAGCUAGGGGAGCGAAUGGG